rnacentral:rRNA from 1 species
CAGUAGCCGCGGUAAUACAGAGGGUGCAAGCGUUAAUCGGAUUUACUGGGCGUAAAGGGCGCGUAGGUGGUUAUGUAAGUGAGAUGUGAAAUCCCCGGGCUCAACCUGGGAACUGCAUCUUAUACUGCGUAGCUGGAGUGCAGUAGAGGGUAGUGGAAUUUCCGGUGUAGCGGUGAAAUGCGUAGAUAUCGGAAGGAACACCUGUGGCGAAAGCGGCUCACUGGACAAUAACUGACGCUGACGCACGAAAGCUAGGGGAGCAAACAGGAUUAGAUACCCCCGUAGUCCCUGUCUCUUAUAC